rnacentral:ncRNA from 1 species
UUCACGGAGAGUUUGAUCCUGGCUCAGGACGAACGCUGGCGGCGUGCUUAACACAUGCAAGUCGAACGGUGAAG